AGUUAGUUUUAAAAUUCUUUGGUUUUAAAAGUGUAGCGUGUCUGUAUCUUUCUUUAUCCGUGUUCGGAAAUUAUGCCUAUUUUGUUAUUAUUUUUAUCGAUUUCAUUAACAAUACACAGUGCGUUUAUUAAAGUGUUCAUUAGUGAUUAAGGACCAACUUCGUCUUUUCUCGAUUAUGUUUCUCAGUGAAGCCAAAUUUUCUGGAUAUCUCGAUCUUCCAAUUUCUCGCAACACCAUAAUCUACUCUUCCAGAGGGCCGGUAAGUCUUUAGAUUUUAAUUUAAAUUUCUG